rnacentral:rRNA from 1 species
CCAGACUCCUACGGGAGGCAGCAGUGAGGAAUAUUGGUCAAUGGGCGGGAGCCUGAACCAGCCAAGUCGCGUGAGGGAUGACGGCCCUAUGGGUUGUAAACCUCUUUUGCCGGGGAGCAGUGGUCCGGACGCGUCCGGACCGGGAGAGUACCCGGAGAAAAAGCAUCGGCUAACUCCGUGCCAGCAGCCGCGGUAAUACGGAGGAUGCGAGCGUUAUCCGGAUUUAUUGGGUGUAAAGGGUGCGUAGACGGGAAAUUAAGUUAGUUGUGAAAUCCCUUGGCUUAACUGAGGAACUGCAACUAAAACUGAUUUUCUUGAGUACUGGAGAGGAAAGUGGAAUUCCUAGUGUAGCGGUGAAAUGCGUAGAUAUUAGGAGGAACACCAGUGGCGAAGGCGACUUUCUGGACAGUAACUGACGUUGAGGCACGAAAGUGUGGGGAGCAAACAGGAUUAGAUACCCGUGUA